CCUACGGGAGGCAGCAGUAGGGAAUCUUCCACAAUGGACGAAAGUCUGAUGGAGCAACGCCGCGUGAGUGAAGAAGGUUUUCGGAUCGUAAAACUCUGUUAUUGGAGAAGAACGUAUUUGGUAGUAACUGGCCAGAUAGUGACGGUAUCCAAUCAGAAAGCCACGGCUAACUACGUGCCAGCAGCCGCGGUAAUACGUAGGUGGCAAGCGUUGUCCGGAUUUAUUGGGCGUAAAGCGAGUGCAGGCGGUUUUUUAAGUCUGAUGUGAAAGCCUUCGGCUUAACCGAAGAAAUGCAUUGGAAACUGGGAAACUUGAGUGAAGAAGAGGAGAGUGGAACUCCAUGUGUAGCGGUGAAAUGCGUAGAUAUAUGGAAGAACACCAGUGGCGAAGGCGGCUCUCUGGUCUGUAACUGACGCUGAGGCUCGAAAGCAU
rnacentral:rRNA from 1 species